rnacentral:misc_RNA from 1 species
AAAAUAAUCCUACCCUUUGUGAAUUUUGUUUGUUUGAAUAAUUUUUUUUUUAAAAAAUUAUUGGAGUCUUUCCCUUUAGAGUUUGCUUUUGAGUUUGUAAAAGAAUUCGAAAACAUCUAAAGGGGAUGGUCAAUAAUUUUUUUUGAAAAAAGACAUUUUUUAAAAUUAAACUUUUUGUAUUCAUUUGUCUAAAAAUUAUUUUUUAUAAUAUAAAAACAACUUUUGACAAUGGAUCUCUUUGGUUCUCGCAACGAUGAAGAACGCAGCAAAAUGCGAUAAGUAGUGUGAAUUGCAGAAUACGUGAAUCAUCGAAUCUUUGAACGCAUAUUGCACUUUUUUAGUUUACUAAAAAAGUAUGUCUGUUUGAGUAUCAGUAAAAUAUUCUCAUAAAAAUCAUUGUGUAUUUUUAUGGUUAUGAGUGUUUUACAACGAUACAAGUUGUUUCACUUUAAAUUUUUUUUUAAUAUUGAAAUUUUUCUAAUUUUAAUAAUUAAAAUUGGAUAAAAUUUUCCCGUCAAAAGGAAUAACCUAAACAAUUUUAAAUGAUUAAUUUUAGCAAAAUUUUCGAAAAAAGGGAAAUUUUUUAUUAAAACAACUUGAUCUCAAAUCAGAUAAGAGUACCCGCUGAACUUAAGCAUAUCAAUAAGCGGAGGAAAAGAAACUAACAAGGAUUCCCUUAGUAACGGCGAGUGAAGCGGGAAGAGCUCAAAUUUGAAAUCUUCAAGGUUUUACCUUGACGAAUUGUAGUUUAAAGAAGUGUUUUCUGCUGAAGUUUUGGUAAAAGUUCUUUGGAAUAGGACAUCAUAGAGGGUGAGAAUCCCGUAUUUGACCAUUAUUUUCAGCUUUGUGAUACACUUUCAAAGAGUCGGAUUGUUUGGGAAUGCAGUCCAAAAUGGGUGGUAAAUUUCAUCUAAAGCUAAAUAUUGGCGAGAGACCGAUAGCGAACAAGUACCGUGAGGGAAAGAUGAAAAAGAACUUUGAAAAGAGAGUUAAACAGUACGUGAAAUUGUCAAAAGGGAAGCGUUUUGACACCAGUGUUGUUUUCUCGAAAAUCAAUUAAAAAUGGCUCGAUUUUGUAUUGCUUGAGACCUUAAAAGCUCACUGUACAUUUUUUCGUGUCUUUUUUAAUGCACUUUUCGUUUAACAAGUCAACAUCAGUUUCUUUUGUUGUAAAAGGGUCAUUGGAAGGUGGCUUUCUUUUCGGAGAAAGUGUUUAUAGCCUUUGGCCUCUGCAAUCGGAGAGACCGAGGUCUGCAGCGUAGACUCUUCGGGGUUAGAUACAUUUGUGCUAGGUUAUAGCUUUUUAUAGACAACUUGUUGACUAUAAUUAGUCUUGUAGCUUACUCGCUUAUGCUAUUUUACCUACGCUUAGGAUG